rnacentral:rRNA from 1 species
AUUGAACGCUGGCGGCAGGCCUAACACAUGCAAGUCGAGCGGAGCGGCGGACGGGUGAGUAAUGCCUAGGAAUCUGCCUGGUCGUGGGGGAUAAGGUCCGGAAACGGGCGCUAAUACCGCAUACUAUCAGAUGAGCCUAGGUCGGCUUAGCUAGUUGGUGGGGUAAAGGCCUACAAAGGCAACGAUCCGUAACUGGUCUGAGAGGAUGAUCAGGCACACUGGAACUGAGACACUGUCCAGACUCCUACGGGAGGCAGCAGUGGGGAAUAUUGGACAAUGGGCGAAAGCCUGAUCCAGCCAUGCCGCGUGUAUGAAGAAGGUCUUAGGGUUGUAAAGCACUUUAAGUUGGGAGGCGUUACCAACAGAAUAAGCACCGGCUAACUUCGUGCCAGCAGCCGCGGUAAUAC